rnacentral:rRNA from 1 species
AGCGAACGCUGGCGGCAGGCCUAAUACAUGCAAGUCGAACGAAGCCUUCGGGUUUAGUGGCGGACGGGUGAGUAACACGUGGGAACGUGCCCUUUGGUUCGGAACAACUCAGGGAAACUUGAGCUAAUACCGAAUGUGCCCUUCGGGGGAAAGAUUUAUCGCCAUUGGAGCGGCCCGCGUCUGAUUAGCUAGUUGGUGAGGUAAAGGCUCACCAAGGCUACGAUCAGUAGCUGGUCUGAGAGGAUGGCCAGCCACAUUGGGACUGAGACACGGCCCAAACUCCUACGGGAGGCAGCAGUGGGGAAUCUUGCGCAAUGGGCGAAAGCCUGACGCAGCCAUGCCGCGUGGAUGAUGAAGGUCUUAGGAUUGUAAAAUCCUUUCACCG